AUUGAACGCUGGCGGCAGGCCUAACACAUGCAAGUCGAACGAGUGGCGGACGGGUGAGUAAUGUCUGGGAAACUGCCUGAUGGAGGGGGAUAACUACUGGAAACGGUAGCUAAUACCGCAUACCAUCAGAUGUGCCCAGAUGGGAUUAGCUAGUUGGUGGGGUAACGGCUCACCAAGGCGACGAUCCCUAGCUGGUCUGAGAGGAUGACAAGCCAAACGUGAACGGAUCAACGGUCCAGAGUCCGACGGGAGGAAGCAGUGGGGAAUAUUGCACAAUGGGCGCAAGCCUGAUGAAGCCAUGCCGCGUGUAGGAAGAAGGCCUUCGGGUUGUAAAGUACUUUCAGAGGGGAGGCGUUACCCGCAGAAGAAGCACCGGCUAACUCCGUGCCAGCAGCCGCGGUAAUAC
rnacentral:rRNA from 1 species